rnacentral:rRNA from 1 species
GACGUAGGGCGCGAGCGUUGUCCGGAUUUAUUGGGCGUAAAGAGCUCGUAGGCGGCUUGUCGCGUCGACUGUGAAAACCCGAGGCUCAACUUCGGGCUUGCAGUCGAUACGGGCAGGCUAGAGUUCGGUAGGGGAGACUGGAAUUCCUGGUGUAGCGGUGAAAUGCGCAGAUAUCAGGAGGAACACCGAUGGCGAAGGCAGCUCGCUGGGACGGUACUGACGCUGAGGCGCGAAAGCGUGGGGAGCGAACAGG